rnacentral:lncRNA from 1 species
UUCGAUCCCUGGCCUGGCUCAGUGGGUUAAGGAUCUGGUGUUGCCGUGAGCUGUGGUGUAGGUCACAGAUUUGGCUCAGAUCCUGCAUUUCUGUGGCUGUGGUAUAGGCCGGCUGCUACAGCUCCAAUCAGACCCCUAGCCUGGGAACAUAUAUAUGCUGCGGGUACGGCUGUAAAAACAAACAAAAGCCAACAACAACAAUAAAAAAGAAGAGCCUGACCCUGACAACACCCUGACCCCAGACGUCUGACCUCCAGAAUGUGAACACCGUAAAUCCCAUUGGACGUCGUGAGGGGAGCCUAGACAACGAAUGGCAUGGGAUACACUGAUCCUUAACCCACUGAGCAAGGCCAGUGAUUGAACCCGCAACCUCAUGGUUCCUAGUCAGAUUCGUUUCUGCUGCGCCAUGAAGGGAACUACCAAUUCUUUUUUUUUUUUUUAAUUUUUUUUUUCUUCAGGGUUGCAGGUGUGGCAUAUGGGAGUUCCCAGGCUAAGGGUCGAAUCAGAGGUAUAGCUGCCAGCCUAUGUCACAGUUCAUGGCAAUGCAGGAUCCUUAACCCACUGAGCAGGGCCAGGGAUCAAACCCAUAUCUUCAUGGAUACGAGUUGGGUUCAUUUCCACUGAGCCACAAGGGGAAUUCCAAGAGCUAAAAUUCUUGAGCAACUAUUACACUCUGACCCAUAGCCUAAAUCAAAUGUCAUCUACUUGUUAUUGAUGUGGCAUCUGAACCCAACCCAGAGAGGUAAAUAAACCUGCAAAGGCGACACAGUGAGCAUGCUGGAAUCCCGGGCUCGAUCUGUCUCAUGCUCUUUCCAUUUUGUGGCCUCUUCUCAUUACUAAGGAGGCCUCCAGCCAGUUCUAGUUUACAGCCUUUCAUGGGCAUAAGUAGCUGCCUUAAAAAACAGACAAGGGACUGAUAAAAACAAAUUGCAAAUCAGGUCAUCUGUCGUAACAUGGGAAAAUGUACAAAUGUAGAGAGACGGGAAUGAAGCGGUCAUGGAACACUGUGCAUCCUGCUGCCUAUUUUUGUACAACCAGGGGUACAUGUGUUUUGCACUUAGGGAGAGACUGGAAGCAGACACGAGAAACUGGUAACCGUGGUUCUCUCUGGGGAGGGGUAUGUGGUGCUGGGUUAGGGAGAAGGGGUUUCACUUUUCUGCACAGAUUAACCUCUACUGUCAUUAGAAGGCUUUGCUAGAAGCAUGCACUACCUUUCUAACUAAAAGAACUCGUUGAGAGAGAGGUGAGGAAAGAUUUUCCCCAUAUGGCUGAUUGCAGAACCUUGAAAAUGGGAAGUUCCUUGGUUCCCCUUCACAACCGUAGUGGCCGUGGAGUAAUUGCAUCCUCCUGCGGGUCACCUUGUGGCGUGGGGGUGGGGGUGGGGAAGAAAGAGGCAACACGCCUGUCCCUGGCCUCCCGAGGGUCCUCUGCUAGGCUGACGGUGAGUGUAGCCAUAGCUGCUGCCCUGAAGAUGAGCUGGAGGUGGUCCCCACUGGGGUGUGAAGGCUGCUUCACCGGGGGCUCCAGAGGGCCUUGCAGCACUUCCUGUUUGGGGACCACGUGAAAGUGACAGAGGAAGCUGCGGUUGGGACAGUGAGAGUGCCAUAUGGGGAGGAUACUCUUUGCUCUUUGGGGUGGAACACUCCUGGGAGCACCUGCAAAAGGCUCAGCCAGGUGGGGAUGCACCCCUAUGCUGCCCCAGGUCCCUGGAGACCAUGGAGUAUGCGAGACCUUCACCCUGAUUCCCUGCCCCACCCCAAUAGCCUCCCCCGCCCUCACCGGACCCACCCUUCCCUCUCCCCAGCACUUCUCACACUGCGCUGAAAUGACCUAUUUCUUUGUCCAAUUUCCGGACUGGCCUUUGCAGUUUUUGAAAGCAAAGUCUCUGUUGUACGCACCUUUGCUUUUCUAACACUUAGCGUGGUGCAGGGCUCAUAACAGGCACACCUUAAACUUUAGAUGGAGGGACAGAUGGAUCGACGGAGCUAGUGCUGUGGAAGCCAAUAUACUCCCAAUCCAGAUACAAAUUCUUCCAGCCCAAACUCUCUCCCACUGCCUAGAUGUGGCCCCCCACAUCAGCCAGCUGUCCAGUGGGUGUGAGCAUACAGCACACUCUAGGAGACAUUGCAUGUCUGUUCUCAUUGGUCUUCCUGAGUGGCUGAAAAGAGAACAGACUUGCAACAAUGAGAAGUCACAGACUGGGAGAAAAUAUUUGCAAAGCACCUACCUGAUAAAGAACCAGCAUCCGAAAUAUGUAAAGAACUCUUAAAACUCAAUAGUAAGAAAAAAGAAGACUCAACUUAAUAAGUGGGCAAAGGAUCUAAACCUAUCUCAUCAAAGAAGAUAUACAGGUGGAAAGUAUCAUGUGAAAUGAUGCUCAGCACCAAUGUAAUUAGGGAAUUAUUAAUUAAAAGAGCAAUGAUAAUUAAAUGAAAGAGCACUGUGGUGGUUUGGGUCGCUGCUGUGCCAAAGUUUCCAUCCCUGGCCUGGGAACUUCCAUGUGCUU